CAGAAUGAGAAUUGAAAGUAAUGGCUGAGCAGUUCGCUGCCGGUAUCGGCAACAUUUCUGGAACUUGUAGAAUUUAUUCUCUUUCCUUUUCAUCUUAACUCACUUAGCCAAUUUACAUAUAUACUAUAAGGUUUACUCUGUUCUAACAAAAAUGAAACCAUCAGGACACAAAACAGUUUCAACACUCCAGAAACUUUCUUUAGGCUGCCCUUCGGGGAUCGAAGCCCUCGACGACCCCAAACUCCUGGGAACUCUCAUCUGUUUCUCCGUCUCUAAAGUUUAUAAUUUUUCCAAAAUAUCAUCCAGGAUGCAUGAAUUAUCUAGCUGUGUGCUGCUUAAUUUCCACAUAAUUAAGGAAAUUUCCAGAAUUAAUAUUUUACCAUCUCAAGUGGGAUGUUAGACCUCAUCACCAUAGGAAGAAACAGAAAAAUUGGACACACUGAUCCAGCAAAGACAUUGAAUCAGUAACAAGAAUCUCCCAACAAACAAAAUUCCAGGACCAAAUGGCCUCAAAGGCAAAUUCUACCAAACAUUUAAAGAAGAGUCAAUACCCAUUUUUUCUCAAACUAUUCCCAAGAAGA